GCAAGAAUGGCGAAAUUGGUAGACGCGCUGGCCUUAGGAGCCAGUCUCGAAAGAGGUGGGGGUUCGAGUCCCCCUUCUUGCACCA
rnacentral:tRNA from 1 species